ACAUACGACCAUAGGGUGUGGAAAACAGGGCUUCCCGUCCGCUCAGCCGUACUUAAGCCACAUGCCGGUGAGUUAGUAGUUGGGUGGGUGACCACCAGCGAAUCCUCACUGUUGUAUGUU
rnacentral:rRNA from 1 species